rnacentral:rRNA from 1 species
GCAUAUCAAUAAGCGGAGGAAAAGAAACUAACAAGGAUUCCCCUAGUAACUGCGAAGUGAAGCGGGAAAAGCUCAAAUUUAAAAUCUGGCGGUCCUUGUGGCCGUCCGAGUUGUAAUCUAGAGAAGUGUUAUCCGCGCUGGACCGUGUACAAGUCUCCUGGAAUGGAGCGUCAUAGAGGGUGAGAAUCCCGUCUUUGACACGGACUACCAGGGCUUUGUGAUGCGCUCUCAAAGAGUCGAGUUGUUUGGGAAUGCAGCUCAAAAUGGGUGGUAAAUUCCAUCUAAAGCUAAAUAUUGGCGAGAGACCGAUAGCGAACAAGUACCGUGAGGGAAAGAUGAAAAGAACUUUGGAAAGAGAGUUAAACAGUACGUGAAAUUGUUGAAAGGGAAACGCUUGAAGUCAGUCGCGUUGGUCAGAAAUCAACCUUGCUUUUUUGUGGGGUGUACUUUCUGGUUGACGGGUCAGCAUCAAUUUUGACCGUUGGAAAAAAGUUGGGGGAAUGUGGCAUCUUCGGAUGUGUUAUAGCCCCUGAUUGUAUACAACGGUUGGGAUUGAGGAACUCAGCAUGCCGCAAGGACGGGUUUUAACCACGUAACAUGCUUAGGAUGCUGGCAAAAUGGCUUUAAUCGACCCGUCUUGAAACACGGACCAAGGAGUCUAACAUGCCUGCGAGUGUUUGGGUGGUAAACCCGAGCGCACAAUGAAAGUGAAAGUUGAGAUCUCUGUCGUGGAGAGCAUCGACGCCCGGACCAGACCUUUUGUGACGGUCCCGCGGUAGAGCAUGUAUGUUGGGACCCGAAAGAUGGUGAACUAUGCCUGAAUAGGGUGAAGCCAGAGGAAACUCUGGUGGAGGCUUCGUAGCGAUUCUGACGUGCAAAUCGAUUCGUCGAAAUUUGGGUAUAGGGGGCGAAAGAC